GUUCUUGAGGUGUAAGAAGCACGUUAGGUUUUCAUCCUAAAGGUAUAAAGAAGGAUUUAUCUAGAACA
rnacentral:tRNA from 2 species